AAAAAACAGAUGGUGUUUUCUACAGCAGGAGCAAUUGCUAUGGUGGUCAACAAGUGAGACUAAGAAACACUCCAGGAAGCCACCCCUAAACCCAUAAGGAAUUCCACAGAGGCUACAUUGUAAAGGACCCAUCAAGUGCCAAGACCGGCAGAACUGACAUCAGUCCUCUGCAGAGCCCCACUUGGAAAAGCUGGGGAACCAGAGAUGCAAAGCAAUGCUAACCCUCCUCUGGGAGAAACUAGGAGCCACAAGGUCUCCUUCUGAUCCUGUGGCAUUUACCUCGGCUGGAGUCCCUGAGAUUUGUAAUCCUCAACUAGCGCCAGAGACUGUUUUCCUAUCAGCAAAACAGAGGAAACCAUAUUUGCAAAUUCUUCAAG